UGUGGCUUUGCAGGUGACCGGCUUUUGUAGCAGCCAGGGCUUCACAACGCUCCCCCUGAUGUCGCCACUGCACCCUCCACAACCACCAGGGGUCUCUCACUGGGUCUUGUCUGGGAGGCCCAAUCGCCUGGACGCCAUCCUGGAUCCCCUACCAGCUGGACCAGCGCCCAAGCGGGCCCUUUCUCCUGGCAGCACCACCCCCACCUCUCCAUGGCAAAGGCUUCAUUUCACAGACCCAACAGGAAGGGACGCACCUUGCAGGUGGAUUCCACUGUGGCUGUUACUUUACUCACCCCGCGCGAGGAAGGAAGGUUUCCUCCUCCCCCAGCAACAGUCCAGCCAAUGAGCGACCAUCAUAAUCAAGACCAUACAGACAGCCACAGCCCAGCCAAUGAGAGACUGCCACAGCCCAGCCAAAGGGAGAUCAUCACACCUCAGCCAAAAUGAGCCUCUUACUGCGCCCUGGCUCUAGUUUUGUCCUGAGUCGCUCCUCCUGUCUUGGCCCGUGGUGUUCCCGAAUAAAGCCAGUUUUGCCUGGGAAA